CAUGAGAGUACUGUUUCCUCAACUAGUCUGGUUGAAAGAAGAGCCUGGGGUCCUGGACCCCACCUCAGACCAACCAGAUCACAACCUCCAGGUAACAGGCUUGGGAACCCGUGUUUACAGCAAGUGCCUCAGUGAUGCCAUCACACAGGCAAGUCUGGGAGAUGCUGGAAGAGAGGCCACCUCUCUACUCCAGAGAACACAGUAGAUCAGUCCCACAGGGAGUUUGGUCUCCGCUGAGCGGGAAGAGCCUCUUGGCCCAUGGUGCUGCUGCUUCUUGGCCUUCUG
rnacentral:lncRNA from 10 species